UGGGGAAUAUUGGACAAUGGACCGAGAGUCUGAUCCAGCAAUUCUGUGUGCACGAUGAAGUUUUUCGGAAUGUAAAGUGCUUUCAGUUGGGAAGAAAGAAAUGACGGUACCAACAGAAGAAGUGACGGCUAAAUACGUGCCAGUAGCCGCGGUAAUACGUAUGUCACGAGCGUUAUCCGGAUUUAUUGGGCGUAAAGCGCGUCUAGGUGGUUAUAUAAGUCUGAUGUGAAAUCCCCGGGCUCAACCUGGGAACUGCAUCUGAUACUGGCAAGCUUGAGUCUCGUAGAGGGGGGUAGAAUUCCAGGUGUAGCGGUGAAAUGCGUAGAGAUCUGGAGGAAUACCGGUGGCGAAGGCGGCCCCCUGGACGAAGACUGACGCUCAGGUGCGAAAGCGUGGGGAGCAAACAGGAUUAGAUACCCUGGUAGUCCACGCCGUAAACGAUGUCGACUUGGAGGUUGUGCCCUUGAGGCGUGGCUUCCGGAGCUAACGCGUUAAGUCGACCGCCUGGGGAGUACGGCCGCAAGGUUA
rnacentral:rRNA from 1 species